GGCACAGGUUCCAAGAAAGGUCCAUUAGUAGGAUCAGCUGACCCUACUAAACUAUCUUACUUCGAAUUUGUGCCC
rfam:Haemonchus placei strain MHpl1 genome assembly, scaffold: HPLM_scaffold0002410